AUCGCUUCUCGGCCUUUUGGCUAAGAUCAAGUGUAGUAUCUGUUCUUAUCAGUUUAAUAUCUGAUAUGUCCUCUAUAUGGGGACUACAUAUUAAAUGGAUUUUUAGCCACGGGAGCUGAAACAGGGGCUUGCUCCGUUCACUCCACGCAUCGACCCGGUAUUGCAGCGCCGCCGGGAACGGUGCACCCCUC
ensembl:snRNA U2 U2 spliceosomal RNA